rnacentral:lncRNA from 1 species
AAUUUAUUUUAGUGAAAAAAAAAAUGAAGAAACAGAUUCCUUAGUUUAGAGAAAGGAAUUGCUUUUAAAAAUGGGAUUCUUCAUGGUAAUUUGGAUUAUUGAUAGUUUUAAAAAUAUCAUUCUACUUCCUGGAGUGGAAUUAGAAGGAAUGAGUCUUGAAAUUCCAGGAAAUAGAAGAAUUAGAAUGAACCAGAGGUUUCUUAUCUUCUGGUCAAUUGCCAAAUCGUUAUAAUAGUUUGCUUGGAAAUACGGCUUCAACCUGUAUCAGUAACUAUUACCAGAAGUCCUUCAGACCACCUAAAUGCUUUCCAAAUGCUUUCCUCUUCUCUUUAAGGAAAGAGUUCUUGGAGCAAACGUUUCUAAAGCACACGGAUUCACAAUAAAAAAUAUUUAAACAAUUCCUAAAACCUAUUAACCACUCGUUAUCCCAGCUUUUUAAGUUAAAUCACUGUAUUUGUUUGAAGUAAAAUUAUAGGGUCUCCUUUGAAGAUGAACACAUAAGAAUAUACAUCUUAGAAGAGGAAGGUCUUAUGAAUUUUAAUCUCAAAUAUUCUGGCCUCAAUUUCAACGUGAACUUUAAAGUGUGAUCUAAAUGCUUACUGUGUGUAAUAUAAACAUUAAGAGGCACAUUUUGAUGUCACCUGCGUGAUAAAACUUUCCUGGCUUCAUUGUGCUAAACUUUUCUCAAAUUUUCUGGACCAGAAACAUAGUCCAAACAUAGCACAUCAUCAUAUCACACAGACAAACACACACACACACACUCACACACUACCAUACACACAGCAAGAACACAGUACAGCACCAGCAUACAGUAAGUGCCAUAGGUGUGCCCACCUUGGAAUGUUGUUGAAAAUUAGAUUCUCCUGGUCAAUAGCCAUCAAGUCCUAUAACUGCCACAUCUUUCCAAGAUAUUUUCCCCAAUUCCAUUACACUCCCCAAAAUACUAGUCUCACUAGAGACAAAACAUGACAAGAACUCUUUACACAAUCUCUUAAAAUCUACUUUAUUUCACAUUGCAUGCCUGUUAUCAAAACAUCUCAGGUACCCCAUAAAUAUAUAUACCUACUAUGUGCCCAAAAAUUUUUUUAAAAAAUCUAUUUUAACUUGGAUAAGUUAAGUAUAUUUCUGUAUAUUAGGUAGAAAAAAUCAGGUGGUUUUCUUAGUUUGGGUUAGCAGACUCUGAGACAAUAAUCCAAAUGCAAAUGGUUUAUCUAGGCAGUGAUCCCAGGAAGAACAGUGAAAGAAUAAGGAAGUAAAACAAAGAAGGAAGGAAGUGAAUAUAGCUAAUAUUUAUAUUGUUAAUCAGCAAAUUACCACUAUGGGAAUGUAGGCUCAGUCUCACUGAGAUUCUCUAAGAAGCUGUACAGAACAUUCUUCAGUACUGUACCAGCAAUGGCAAGAAAGCUGGAGUGUUUAUCCACCAGAUCUCAUCCCUCACUGGUGAGGGUCACUCCUAAGAUUCUGAUUUUCCCAGAUUCCUGGUCUGCACUUCUUGGACCUACCACAUUUCCAUGGUCAGAGAAUGCUCUCCAACAGAGACGCAGGAAGCUUUAUUUAUUCUUAAAAGUUGAGCGGCUCAGGCUCAUAAAUACUAAUGAUCCAAGUAUUUUCUGGUGUUAGCUAGCCAUAGUGUGAUAUCUAGGAAUGUCUAGCCAAGCUGACCAAGCCUCCCUCUAGCAAUACUCCAUUAUGAGUACCAUUUUUUACCUGGUUGCUAGGGACAACCAAAUUUUGCCUAUAAUGAUGAAUAGAGGUCCUCCUGACCCAAAUAUCUGAGUGUAUUUGAAAGGAGUUCUUUAAUUUAGAGUCAUAUAUAAAGGCAACAAAAAGCAGGAGUUGCAAUAUAGAUUGAGAGCUGGAUAAUUUUUCUUGUAUUUUUUAUGUAGAUACAAAUAUGUAUACAAAAAAUUAAGAUUAGUGGAGUCAUGAUAUUAACUUUUAAACUCUUCACAGAGAAGUAGAGAAACUGGUUUGACUGAGAGAAUUCUCUCACUCUGGUUGUUUCUGAUGUUUCUUGGUUCUUGCUUUCUAAUUCUGUCUUCUCCUAAACUGGUACGUUCUAUGAUGUUUAUGUUCCCUCAUGGGACCACAUCAGAAUGAUCACUUCCUUGAUGCAAGGCUCUUAAUUAUGACUCCAGAGAAAUCCAGAAAAAUCUGUUCCCAUCGGUUACUGCUGAAAAAAAGUACAAGAUCUUGCUCAGCAGCAUUCCUAAAGAGAUUGCUUUCUUUUGCUCACAUUUUUUCAAAAUGCCUGCUGUCUGUUUUACCUUAAAAAUAGUAAUUCUUAAUUCAUAUAGCAUUGCAAUUCACAACUCUGUUUUUCCAAAAUACCCCAAGAUGUAUCAGUGAGAAAAAUUAUUUCCCAUUUUGGCAUUCUCUGGGAAAGGGAAAUUUCUAACAUUUUACUUCCAUGUGCAAAAGUCUUCAAAUUCUGGCAUAUUUCCCAUGAAUCUUUAAUCUGAUCUACCUAACAAUGCCCUUUGAGUUGAUUGCCCUUUGAGUUGAGGUUUUAUGGUUUCACAACUUCAAUCUCACUGAUAUAUAGGUUAGGCUAGCAUCAAAGAAAAUAGGUUAAAGAAAUAGUUUCACUUAUUUUGGCCCACCUAAAACCAGGACUUGAACUUUACCAAAAACUAAAUAUCUAAGCAUAGCACGUUAGAAAGCAGCAUAUAGUACAAGAACAGUAGGGAGGGCACAAAGCUCAGGUCUGUGGCUUAAUAGUGACUGACCACAGGCACACUGGUAACUUCUCUUAACCGUCCUGCCUCAUCUGACAAGCAGGGUAAAUGUCAUCUAUGUUACAAAGUGGGUGGUGGUUCUAAAUUAGAGAGCCUAGACAAAGUGUCCCCGACUGCUGCAUAUUAUAGGCUCUCAGAAAACAUUAACUGCCUUUCUCUUUCCUCCAAAGUUUCAGUUGAGAAAAGUAUAAGCUCAAGGAAUAGAAGAUAAAUGUUCAGUAGAAUAGGAAUGGAAUCUAAUGCUUUUUCAUGCUGUGGUAAAUCACUGAAAAUGUGUCUUCAUGUCACAUUCUGUUUGGAGAGCAGUGUCUAUUUCCCUUUCUAAAUAUCAUUCAUCAGUGCAUCCUUUCUUGUAUCCAAAUAAAUGAAUCUUAAAUCUCUCUUUAAAUAGUUAUAAGGCAUGUGACUGACACAAACCAUAAAUCUAGAUAAAGAUUUGAAGGAUAUACUAACCAGGCUUGAGAUUACUAGAAGAGAGAAUAAAGAAAAUUGCAAAUGAACUGCUCUGAAAUAAAAUGACUACCAUGCAUUGCAAUUAGAAAAUCUAGGGGAAAACGACAAGUUGAGCUUCGUCUUCUUACCAGAAACUGUGUUGCUCUCUUUCCAUGUUUCCACUACCACUUUUGCCACAUGUGGUGAGAAACAUGAAAUAGCACAUGUUAGAAAAGUGAAUACUGUCAGGUGGAAAGCGUGCCUCACUCUUUUCUGGGAAUUACAUUCCGGGGUUUGAAUGGCUGAUUACCUUUAUGCAUGAACAAUUCAAUCAACUCAUCUCUGUACUGCUUAGCCCAGCUGGGUCUUGGCAAUAAUUCAAUUUGGGAAGGUUCUUCCAGAAAACCAUGCUAAUAUGUUUAGUUUUUAGAAGAAAAAAUAAUACACUGUAGAGAAUUGAUUUGGGGGUUGGCAAUGUAGUUGUAGGGAAAGGGAUUCAAGUGAGGACUAUCAUUUUUUUUCCCUCAUGUCAGGCAAAGGAUUGGAGAGAUUAAGGAACUUGAUUCAAGUCACGAAGCUACUAAGAGGCAAAACCAUGGUUUUAGUGAGACCCGUCUGGUUUCAAGAAGAGUAGUUUAAGUGUAUUCAGAGCCCAUUAUGUACCAGUCACUAUGUUCAGAAGUUUAUAUCUAGACCCCUCACAACAGGAGUAAACCAGAAUCAACCUACUACACUAAGAGCAGAAAGCCACACUCUUCUCUUGGAGACAAGGUCUCAGGAAAGGAGUGGGUAAAACACUUAUCUCCAGAAAGCCAGCAAGAGGGAAGAAGGAAGAAAACCCCAUCCUGCAUGGUAUGAUGCUGAGAUUCCUCACAUAUCUUCAAAGCAUCCUAAGAAAGUAAGUUUGAGUAUCUGUGGGCACUUGGGCUUCAAAGAACAAACAAGAGAGGCAGAAUCAAGGGAGUUCACAACUCUCUUUCAUUCUUACAUUAUAACAUUUAUACAUUCAUAGACAGCAAAUGAAGAGUCUCACACACAUCAUGUUUAGGAUAUAGGUCAGAAAGCUGAGACACAAAGAUGUCAACCACUUGCGUAUUUCUGACUCUUAGUUCUGAUUCUCAGGACUUAAUUUUUGUCUUUUGUUAAUGCCCCAUCCCAGAGUAAGGUCAACUGUUUCUUCAGGGCCAAGGGACUGUGGGUGUCCAGAGAAUGCUCAAUUGGAAUAUUUUUUUCAGCUCUUUUAUUACACAAAUGAAAUACUCUUCAACAAUUGUUGGGGGGUGGUUUUUUUGUUGUUCUGAAACAACUCCAGUAGGCUUUUUAGCUCUACAAAGUCCCUCCACACAAGUGGUGAUGCUUGACAUUUCAGCUCCAAGAAGGUAAAAUUGCUUGGUGAUGAAGUUAUUAAUGGUGAUGUUGAAGUCAGAGCUGCACCUCUGCAGACCAGGUUAUAUUUGAGGAAAAUAUGCUUAGCUAAAAAAAGAAGAAGAACAGUGAUCAGAUACGUCAAGGUGUCUGCCCAACCUCUUGGCCUGGGUCUCAUGACGGAGUUGGUGAGAUUCAGAAGGCAAUGAAACCAUUUUCAUCGAGUGCAUAAGCACAAGUAGAUCUGUCCCUGAGCCUGAAGGGCAAGGAAAUCAUGGGUUUUUACAAAUUUAGUUAGUAUCUGGCCACUUUAACAAAUUUCUACUAAUGCUAAUAACUCUUCAGUUGAUUUUUUAGUGCACAAUCAUAUUAUCUUCAUUUAAAGAUAAUGUUACUUUAUUCUUUUGAAAAGUUGUACCUCCUAUUUCCUGCCUUAUUGCUUCAGCUGUAAGUCAAGUCUCUGCAUAUACUUAGUUUGAAUGAUGAAAAGGGUGUUGAGAUUUUUAAGUUGUUUUGAGAAAUAUGGAUUUGAGUACAAAAUGCUGAAGAUAGAGAAACUGAAGAACUAUUGUAGUAGUUUAGGUGUGGGCCAGGUGAAGUGGCUCACACCUGUAAUUCUAGCACUUUGGGAGGAAGAGGGAGGCACAUCAUGAGGUCAGGA